AGUGAACGCUGGCGGUAGGCCUAACACAUGCAAGUCGAACGGCAGCACAGUAAGAGCUUGCUCUUACGGGUGGCGAGUGGCGGACGGGUGAGGAAUACAUCGGAAUCUACUUUUUCGUGGGGGAUAACGUAGGGAAACUUACGCUAAUACCGCAUACGACCUACGGGUGAAAGCAGUGGAUCUUCGGACCUUGCGCGAUUGAAUGAGCCGAUGUCGGAUUAGCUAGUUGGCGGGGUAAAGGCCCACCAAGGCGACGAUCCGUAGCUGGUCUGAGAGGAUGAUCAGCCACACUGGAACUGAGACACGGUCCAGACUCCUACGGGAGGCAGCAGUAGGGAAUAUUGCGCAAUGGGCGAAAGCCUGAUCCAGCCAUGCCGCGUGGGUGAAGAAGGCCUUCGGGUUGUAAAGCCCUUUUAUUGGGAAAGAAAAGCAGCAGGUGAAUACCCCGCUGUUCUGACGGUACCCAAAGAAUAAGCACCGGCUAACUUCGUG
rnacentral:rRNA from 1 species